GGCCCCUUAGCUCAGUUGGUUAGAGCAGGCGACUCAUAAUCGCUUGGUCACUGGUUCAAGUCCAGUAGGGGCCACCA
rnacentral:tRNA from 64 species